AUUGAACGCUGGCGGCAUGCUUUACACAUGCAAGUCGAACGGCAGCGCGGGCUUCGGCCUGGCGGCGAGUGGCGAACGGGUGAGUAAUACAUCGGAACGUGCCCAGUAGUGGGGGAUAGCUCGGCGAAAGCCGGAUUAAUACCGCAUACGACCUGAGGGUGAAAGGGGGGGAUCUUCGGACCUCGCGCUAUUGGAGCGGCCGAUGGCAGAUUAGCUAGUUGGUGGGGUAAAGGCCUACCAAGGCGACGAUCUGUAGCUGGUCUGAGAGGACGACCAGCCACACUGGGACUGAGACACGGCCCAUACUCCUACGGGAGGCAGCAGUGGGGAAUUUUGGACAAUGGGCGAAAGCCUGAUCCAGCAAUGCCGCGUGUGUGAUGAAGGCCUUCGGGUUGUAAAGCACUUUUGGCGGGAACGAAAAGGACUGUGCCAAUACCACGGUUCGAUGACGGUACCCGCAGAAUAAGCACCGGCUAACUACGUG
rnacentral:rRNA from 1 species